GCAGAAGAAGCACCGGCUAACUCCGUGCCUAGCAGCCGCGGUAAUACGGAGGGUGCGAGCGUUUAAUCGGAAUUUACUGGGCGUAAAAGCGCAUGCAGGUGGUUUGUUAAGUCAGAUGUGAAAGCCCGGGGCUCAACCUCGGAAUUGCAUUUGAAAACUGGCAAACUAGAGUACUGUAGAGGGGGUAGGAAUUUCAGGUGUAGCGGUGAAAUGCGUAGAGAUCUGAAGGAAUACCGGUGGCGAAGGCGGCCCCCUGGACAGAUACUGACACUCAGAUGCGAAAGCGUGGGGAGCAAACAGGAUUAGAUACCCUGGUAG
rnacentral:rRNA from 1 species